rnacentral:lncRNA from 10 species
UCCGUCUCAAAAAAAAAAAAAAAAAAAAAGUUGGCCUCUUUGCCUAAACAUUUUAGCCACAGCCUCUUUAAUUAUCCCAGAGGCACAAAAUUUCAUCUUCUAUAAACCCCUGCAAGUUUAUUCAUCACAUGACUUGCAAGAUAUGCUCAGCCACAGGGCACUUCAAACAGUAUCCCCUUCCCGCAUCCAGACCCUGCACUCAGCCAUUCUCCAAUCCUUUCUCUCCCUCCGUAAAUGCUCCCCUCCUAACACCGCCACCCUUUUACCCUCAACACCCCUCUUAGAGUCACCCCUGCACUCCUGCACUGAUAUCACUGAUGACUCCCUUAUCACGUUCCAUCAUUUAACCAACGCACCUAUAAAGGGAGCUCCAGGCUGGUUUCUAGACAGCAGUGUGUCCAGAGUUCCUCCUUUCUCAGCAGGGUAUAUUAUCAUGGAAGGAUACCGUGAUGACACCCCCGUCCUCCCUCCCUGAAGAGUCAUAGAAGCCUCUUUCUUACCAGCAGGCACAUCCUCCCAGCAGACCUACAAGAAUCCUCAGAAGAUAUAGCCAAGGGCCUUGUAAGAAUCCAAGACCAGCUAGACUCCCCAGCCGGAGGAGUCCUCCAAAACCGGAGAGGACUCGACCUCCUUACAACAGAGAAGGGAGGUUCCUGCCUCUCUCUAGGGGAAGAAUGCUGCUUCUAUCUCAACCAGCCAGGCUUGGUAAGGGAUGCCGUCCAAAACUUAAGGAAAGAGCUCAAAGAAUGAGGGAGCGACAAGAAAACCAACCAAAUCAGUUCCUGGUUAAAUGUUCCUUACCGACAGGAUCACAGCCAUCUCACAAACUACCCCCCAACAACACCUGAAGACGGUGCUACUCCUCCAGUCAAUCCAAAACCAGCAAUCUUACGGCCCCCUUUCAGCAGGAAGUAGCCAGAAAAAGCACGCCAGCCCAUCUCCCUAUCUAACCAUAGAGUCUGGAUUGAUAGGACAAGAGUGCUGCCAUCUUAACGAGACUCCACAAUCUUCUUUUUUUUUUUUUGAGAGAGAGUUUCACUCUUGUUGCCCAGGCUAGAGUGCAGUGGCGCAAUCUCUGCUCACCUCAACCUCCGCCUCCCGGGGUCAAGUGAUUCUCCUGUCUCAGCCUCCCAAGUAGCUGGGAUUACAGGCAAGUGCCACCAUGCCCGGCUAAUUUUGUAUUUUUAGUAGAGACGGGGUUUCUCCAUGUUGGUCAGGCGGGUCUCGAACUCCCGACCUCAGGUGGUCCGCCCGCCUUGGUCUCCCAGAGCGCUGGGAUUACAGGCAUGAGCCACUGCGCCCGGUCUCCACCAUCUUAAAGUAUCAAAUUUCCAUGUCUCAGAACUGUCCGCAAAUGUCAGCCCCGCCCAUAGCUUCAACAGAGCAUAGGCCCUAACUGCAACAGAGCCUAACGAAGUCCCCAUUCGUCAUAACUAGCCAGCCCUUCCCCAACUCCUUCCCAAUAGGAUCUUCUCUCAAAGCACACUUCCCCCACCGGGCCCUUUAAAAAGCCUCAGGCUGUAAUGCCGGCCAGAGCCCUUCUCAGGUUUACUCUCAAUAAAUCCAUCUCCACUGUACAGCUGUCUUCUCCCCUCUUCCUUCCUUUAUCUUAUUUUUUUUCUUUUGAGACGGAGUUUCACUCUUGUUGCCCAGGCUGGACUCACUGCAACCUCUGCCUCCCGGGUUCAAGCGAUUCUCCUGCCUCAGCCUCCCUGGCAGCUGGGAUUAUAGGUGUCUGCCACCACACCCAGCUAAUUUUUUCUAUUUAGUAGAGAUGGGGUUUCACCAUGUUGGCCAAGCUGGUCUCAAACUCUCGACAAGUGAUCCACCCGCCUUGGCCUCCCAGUAUGCUGGGAUUACAGGUGUGAGCCACUGCGCCCGGCCACUUUCCUUAAUCUUUCUAUCCCAACAAGAUCAAACCUGGAACUCCAUUCCACCUGG